rnacentral:rRNA from 2 species
UUUAUUGGAGAGUUUGAUCCUGGCUCAGGAUGAACGCUGGCGGCGUGCCUAAUACAUGCAAGUCGAGCGAAUGGAUUGAGAGCUUGCUCUCAAGAAGUUAGCGGCGGACGGGUGAGUAACACGUGGGUAACCUGCCCAUAAGACUGGGAUAACU